UGGGGAAUUUUGGACAAUGGGGGAAACCCUGAUCCAGCCAUCCCGCGUGUGCGAUGAAGGCCUUCGGGUUGUAAAGUACUUUUGGCAGGAAAGAAACGUCAUGGGUUAAUACCCCGUGAAACUGACGGUACCUGCAGAAUAAGCACCGGCUAACUACGUGCCAGCAGCCGCGGUAAUACGUAGGGUGCAAGCGUUUAUCGGAAUUACUGGGCGUAAAGCGUGCGCAGGCGGUUCGGAAAGAAAGAUGUGAAAUCCCAGAGCUCAACUUUGGAACGGCAUUUAUAACUACCGGGCUAGAGUGUGUCAGAGGGAGGUGGAAUUCCGCGUGUAGCAGUGAAAUGCGUAGAUAUGCGGAGGAACACCGAUGGCGAAGGCAGCCUCCUGGGAUAACACUGACGCUAAUGCACGAAAGCGUGGGGAGCAAACAGG
rnacentral:rRNA from 1 species